rnacentral:rRNA from 1 species
AACGCUAGCUACAGGCUUAACACAUGCAAGUCGAGGGGCAGCGGGAUUGAAGCUUGCUUCAAUCGCCGGCGACCGGCGCACGGGUGAGUAACGCGUAUCCAACCUUCCGUACACUCAGGGAUAGCCUUUCGAAAGAAAGAUUAAUACCUGAUGGUAUGAUGAGAUUGCAUGAUAGCAUCAUUAAAGAUUCAUCGGUGUACGAUGGGGAUGCGUUCCAUUNGGUAGUAGGCGGGGUAACGGCCCACCUAGCCUACGAUGGAUAGGGGUUCUGAGAGGAAGGUCCCCCACAUUGGAACUGAGACACGGUCCAAACUCCUACGGGAGGCAGCAGUGAGGAAUAUUGGUCAAUGGACGAGAGUCUGAACCAGCCAAGUAGCGUGAAGGAUGAAGGUCCUACGGAUUGUAAACUUCUUUUAUAAGGGAAUAAACCCUCCCACGUGUGGGAGCUUGUAUGUACCUUAUGAAUAAGCAUCGGCUAACUCCGUGCCAGCAGCCGCGGUAAUACGGAGGAUGCGAGCGUUAUCCGGAUUUAUUGGGUUUAAAGGGAGCGCAGACGGGUCGUUAAGUCAGCUGUGAAAGUUUGGGGCUCAACCUUAAAAUUGCAGUUGAUACUGGCGUCCUUGAGUGCGGUUGAGGUGUGCGGAAUUCGUGGUGUAGCGGUGAAAUGCUUAGAUAUCACGAAGAACUCCGAUUG